AUUCCGGUUGAUCCUGCCGGAGGCCAUUGCUAUCGGAGUCCGAUUUAGCCAUGCUAGUCGUGCGAGUUCAGACUCGCGGCACCGAGCUCAGUAACACGUGGCCAAACUACCCUACAGAGACGGAUACCCUCGGGAAACUGAGGUUAACCCAUCAUACCGAUCUCAGGCUUGAAUCGCAGAGAUCACAAAACGCCCCGGCGCUGUAGGAUGUGGCUGCUGUUGAUUAGGUAGACGGUGGGGUAACGGCCCACCGUGCCCAUAAUCAGUACAGGUUGUGAGAGCAAGAACCUGGAGACGGAAUCUGAGACAAGAUUCCGGGCCCUACGGGGCGCAGCAGGCGCGAAACCUUUACACUGCACGCACGUGCGAUAAGGGGACUCCGAGUGCGAGGGCAUAUCGUCCUCGCUUUCGUGUACCGUAGGGUGGUACACCAACAAGGGCUGGGCAAGACCGGUGCCAGCCGCCGCGGUAAUACCGGCAGCCCGAGUGAUGGCCGAUCUUAUUGGGCCUAAAGCGUCCGUAGCU
rnacentral:rRNA from 1 species